ACUAGAUCUAGCCCACACUCCCCCCCCCCCCCCCCCCCCCAUCACAGACAAAUCAAAUAAAGCAUUCACCACCCAUUCAAAGUAUAGGAGAUAGAAAUCCAAAUCACUAGUGGCGCUAUAGAGAAAGUACCGUAAGGGAAAGAUGAAAGAUAUCCUAAAAGUAAAAAAAAGCAAAGCUUACCCCUUGUACCUUUUGCAUAAUGAAUUAACUAGUAGUAACUUAGCAAAGAGACCUUUAGUUAAACUACCCGAAACCAGACGAGCUACUUACGAACAGUACCUAGAACGAACUCAUCUAUGUGGCAAAAUAGUGAGAAGAUUUGUAAGUAGAGGUGAAAAGCCUAACGAGCCUGGUGAUAGCUGGUUGUCCAAGAAAAGAAUCUCAGUUCAACAUUAAACAGUACCAAGAACCCCCUGAAGUUCCAAUGUAUGUUUAACUGUUAGUCUAAAAAGGUACAGCUUUUUAGAAAUGGGUACAACCUUAACUAGAGAGUAAAACAGACACACACAUGCCAUAGUUGGCUUAAAAGCAGCCAUCAAUUAAGAAAGCGUUCAAGCUCAACAAUAAAACUGUGUUAUAAUCCCAACAAUAACAAAUCAACUCCUAGUAUAAUUAUUGGACUAAUCUAUAUAAUUAUAGAAGCAAUACUGUUAACAUGAGUAACAAGAAAACUUUUUCUCCUCGCACAAGCUUACAUCAGUAACUGAUACUACACUGAUAGUUAACAGCCAAUAAAUAAAACCCAACGCCAAGCCAUUUAUUAAGCCCACUGUUAACCCAACACAGGCGUGCACCAAGGAAAGAUUAAAAAAAGUAAAAGGAACUCGGCAAACACAAACCUCGCCUGUUUACCAAAAACAUCACCUCUAGCAUAACCAGUAUUAGAGGCACUGCCUGCCCAGUGACUGAUAGUUAAACGGCCGCGGUAUCCUGACCGUGCAAAGGUAGCAUAAUCACUUGUUCUCUAAAUAAGGACUUGUAUGAACGGCCACACGAAGGUUUUACUGUCUCUUACUUUUAAUCAGUGAAAUUGACCUUCCCGUGAAGAGGCGGGAAUAACAAAACAAGACGAGAAGACCCUAUGGAGCUUCAAUUAAUCAACCCAAUAACCCACAACCUCAAACCACCAAGGGAUAAAAAAAACUUAUAUGGGUUGACAAUUUCGGUUGGGGUGACCUCGGAGCACAAAAACCCCUCCGAGUGAUUAAAGCCUAGGCCUACCAGCCAAAGCAUAACAUCACUUAUUGAUCCAAAGCUUUGAUCAACGGAACAAGUUACCCUAGGGAUAACAGCGCAAUCCUAUUCUAGAGUCCAUAUCGACAAUAGGGUUUACGACCUCGAUGUUGGAUCAGGACAUCCUAAUGGUGCAGCCGCUAUUAAGGGUUCGUUUGUUCAACGAUUAAAGUCCUACGUGAUCUGAGUUCAGACCGGAGCAAUCCAGGUCGGUUUCUAUCUGUUGCGCAUUUCUCCCAGUACGAAAGGACAAGAGAAAUAAGGCCAACUUUACACACGCGCCUUCAAAUAACUAAUGAUCUAAUCUUAAUUAAACAAACAAGCGCAAACUAACCCUGCCCAAGACCAGGGCAUU
rnacentral:rRNA from 1 species